rnacentral:rRNA from 1 species
GUAUUACCGCGGCNNCUGGCCAAAUGGCUAGGGCUGAUCCUCACGCGCCAACGUUCCGCUCUGGUGGUCAGCGAAACCGCCUGAGGCCAGAUCCUUGAGAGCGUGAUAAAUCGGCUUGGCCACCAGCAGACGACUGAUGUAGGCAGCCAAAACAGCUGCCAACAGCAACCCUGGCAAAAGCUGCUGAUCGCCGGUGAGACGCAUGCCAAACAGCACCGCCAACACAGGCAGCUGCGUUGCUCCCGCCAGGCCAGCCACCAUGCCGAGCGCCAGGCCCAGCUCCGGCACCAUGAACGCAUCGCCCAGGCUGUAGCCAAGCACAGCGCCCAGAGAGAAGGCCGGAUCGAUCAAACCGCCGGGAACACCAACGGCCAAGACCAGCACAGGCGCCAACAAACGCAGCAGCAGGGUGAGCAGAUCGCCAAACACACCAGGAAGAAACACCUGGGUUGGCGCGCCACCCUCCACCAAAUGACGCAUCAACAGCUCACCAUCUCCCCCAGCAGCCGCGGUAAUACAA